rnacentral:rRNA from 1 species
GAUGAACGCUAGCGGGAGGCCUAACACAUGCAAGCCGAGCGGUAGAGAUUCUUCGGAAUCUUGAGAGCGGCGUACGGUGCGGAACACGUGUGCAACCUACCUUUAUCUGGAGGAUAGCCUUUCGAAAGGAAGAUUAAUACUCCAUAAUAUAUUGAUUGGCAUCAAUUGAUAUUGAAAGCUCCGGCGGAUAGAGAUGGGCACGCGCAAGAUUAGUUAGUUGGUGAGGUAACGGCUCACCAAGACGAUGAUCUUUAGGGGGCCUGAGAGGGUGAUCCCCCACACUGGUACUGAGACACGGACCAGACUCCUACGGGAGCAGCAGUGAGGAAUAUUGGUCAAUGGGUGCAAGCCUGAACCAGCCAUCCCGCGUGAAGGACGACUGCCCUAUGGGUUGUAAACUUCUUUUGUAUAGGGAUAACCUACCCUCGUGAGGGUAGCUGAAGGUACUAUACGAAUAAGCACCGGCUAACUCCGU